rnacentral:snoRNA from 1 species
CUGCAUGUUUCAGCUUUGUGCUGACGAUGUCCACUCCUUUUCUUUGUGGGAGUAGACGCCUAAAAACAUGCCAGAUUAAAAUGGAAACUAAGGGAGUUAACAGGGCCACCAGUCUCUGAGCACAGGCUGAGUUGGUAGUAUAAUACUCCUACAUUC